AGCGAACGCUGGCGGCAGGCUUAACACAUGCAAGUCGAGCGGGUGUAGCAAUACAUCAGCGGCAGACGGGUGAGUAACGCGUGGGAACGUACCUUUUGGUUCGGAACAACACAGGGAAACUUGUGCUAAUACCGGAUAAGCCCUUACGGGGAAAGAUUUAUCGCCGAAAGAUCGGCCCGCGUCUGAUUAGCUAGUUGGUAGGGUAACGGCCUACCAAGGCGACGAUCAGUAGCUGGUCCGAGAGGAUGAUCAGCCACAUUGGGACCGAGACACGGCCCAAACUCCUACGGAAGGCAGCAGUGGGGAAUAUUGGACAAUGGGGGCAACCCUGAUCCAGCCAUGCCGCGUGAGUGAUGAAGGCCCUAGGGUUGUAAAGCUCUUUUGUGCGGGAAGAUAAUGACGGUACCGCAAGAAUAAGCCCCGGCUAACUUCGUGCCAGCCGCCGCCGUAACAC
rnacentral:rRNA from 1 species